UUAACAUGCCUGCCUGUCACGCAGGAGAUCGCGGGUUCAAAUCCCGUCGGGACCG
rnacentral:tRNA from 1 species